rnacentral:rRNA from 1 species
AUUGAACGCUGGCGGCAUGCUUUACACAUGCAAGUCGAACGGUAACAGGCCGCAAGGUGCUGACGAGUGGCGAACGGGUGAGUAAUGCAUCGGAACGUGCCCAGUCGUGGGGGAUAACGCAGCGAAAGCUGCGCUAAUACCGCAUACGAUCUAUGGAUGAAAGCGGGGGACCGGAAGGCCUCGCGCGAUUGGAGCGGCCGAUGUCAGAUUAGGUAGUUGGUGGGGUAAAGGCCUACCAAGCCGACGAUCUGUAGCUGGUCUGAGAGGACGACCAGCCACACUGGGACUGAGACCCGGCCCAGACUCCUACGGGAGGCAGCAGUGGGGAAUUUUGGACAAUGGGCGCAAGCCUGAUCCAGCAAUGCCGCGUGCAGGAAGAAGGCCUUCGGGUUGUAAACUGCUUUUGUACGGAACGAAACGGUCUGGGUUAAUACCCUGGGCUAAUGACGGUACCGUAAGAAUAAGCACCGGCUAACUACGUGCCAGCAGCCGCAGUAACAC